UACGUAGGGUGCAAGCGUUGUCCGGAAUUACUGGGCGUAAAGGGCGCGUAGGCGGCCGCCUAAGUCAGACGUGAAAUCCCCAGGCUUAACCUGGGAACUGCGUCUGAUACUGGGUGGCUUGAGUUCGGGAGAGGAAUGUGGAAUUCCAGGUGUAGCGGUGAACUGCGUAGAUAUCUGGAGGAACACCGGUGGCGAAGGCGGCAUUCUGGACCGAAACUGACGCUGAGGCGCGAAAGCCAGGGGAGCAAACGGG
rnacentral:rRNA from 1 species